CUCCAUAGAUACAGAGGGUUUGAGAGGUUCUCCAUAGAUACAGAGGGUUAGAGGUUCUCCAUAGAUACAGAGGGUUAGAGGUUCUCCAUAGGAUACAGAGGGUUAGAGAGGUUCUCCAUAGAUACAGAGGGUUAGAGGUUCUCCAUAGGAUACAGAGGGUUAGAGAGGUUCUCCAUAGAUACAGAGGUUAGAGAGGUUCUCCAUAGGAUACAGAGGGUUAGAGAGGUUCUCCAUAGAUACAGAGGGUUAGAGGUUCUCCAUAGGAUACAGAGGGUUAGAGGUUCUCCAUAGAUACAGAGGGUUAGAGAGGUUCUCCAUAGAUACAGAGGGUUAGAGGUUCUCCAUAGAUACAGAGGGUUAGAGGUUCUCCAUAGGAUACAGAGGGUUAGAGAGGUUCUCCAUAGAUACAGAGGGUUAGAGAGGUUCUCCAUAGGAUACAGAGGGUUAGAGGUUCUCCAUAGAUACAGAGGGUUAGAGAGGUUCUCCAUAGGAUACAGAGGGUUAGAGGUUCUCCAUAGAUACAGAGGGUUAGAGAGGUUCUCCAUAGAUACAGAGGGUUAGAGAGGUUCUCCAUAGGAUACAGAGGGUUAGAGAGGUUCUCCAUAGAUACAGAGGGUUAGAGAGGUUCUCCAUAGAUACAGAGGGUUAGAGAGGUUCUCCAUAGAUACAGAGGGUUAGAGGUUCUCCAUAGGAUACAGAGGGUGAGAG
ensembl:lncRNA